rnacentral:rRNA from 1 species
AGGAUAAACGCUGGCGGCGUGCCUAACACAUGCAAGUCGAACGUCCUACGCAAGUAGGGAGUGGCGGACGGGUGAGUAACACGUGGGCAAUCUACCUUUCGGUGAGGAAUACCGGCGAGAAAUCGCCGACAAUACCGCAUACGCUUCGCAAGAAGCAAAGUCGCAAGACGCCGGAGGAGGAGCCUGCGCCCGAUUAGCUGGUUGGUGAGGUAAGAGCUCACCAAGGCGACGAUCCGUAGCUGGUCUGAGAGGACGACCAGCCACACUGGGACUGAGACACGGCCCAGACUCCUACGGGAGGCAGCAGUGGGGAAUUUUGGACAAUGGGCGAAAGCCUGAUCCAGCCAUGCCGCGUGUGUGAAGAAGGCCUUCGGGUUGUAAGCACUUUUGUCCGGAACGAACGCCAAGGGCGAAUACCCCUUGGUAAUGACGGUACCGGGAGAAUAAGCACCGGCUAACUACGUGCCAGCAGCCGC